rnacentral:rRNA from 1 species
AUUGAACGCUGGCGGCAGGCCUAACACAUGCAAGUCGAACGAUUGGCGGACGGGUGAGUAAUGUCUGGGAAACUGCCUGAUGGAGGGGGAUAACUACUGGAAACGUUAGCUAAUACCGCAUACCAUCAGCUUUGCCCAGAUGGGAUUAGCUUGUUGGGGGGUUAACGGCUCACCAAGGCGACGAUCCCUAGCUGGUCUGAGAGGAUGACCAGCCACACUGGAACGGAGACACGGUCAAGACGCCUACGGAAGGCAGAAGUGGGGAAUAUUGCACAAUGGGCGCAAGCCUGAUGAAGCCAUGCCGCGGGUAUGAAGAAGGCCUUCGGGUUGUAAAGUACUUUCAGCGGGGAGGCGUUACCCGAAGAAGAAGCACCGGCUAACUCCGUGCCAGCAGCCGCGGUAAUUC